AACGAACGCUGGCGGCAUGCCUAACACAUGCAAGUCGAACGAGACCUUCGGGUCUAGUGGCGCACGGGUGCGUAACGCGUGGGAACCUGCCCUUAGGUUCGGAAUAACUCCCCGAAAGGGGUGCUAAUACCGGAUAAUGUCUUCGGACCAAAGAUUUAUCGCCUUUGGAUGGGCCCGCGUUGGAUUAGCUAGUUGGUAGGGUAAAAGCCUACCAAGGCGACGAUCCAUAGCUGGUCUGAGAGGAUGAUCAGCCACACUGGGACUGAGACACGGCCCAGAAUCCUACGGGAGGGAGGCGUGGGGAAUAUUGGACCAUGGGCGAAAGCCUGAUCCCGCCAUGCCCCGUGAGUGAUGAAGGCCUUAGGGUUGUAAAGCUCUUUUACCCGGGAUGAUAAUGACAGUACCGGGAGAAUAAGCUCCGGCUAACUCCGUG
rnacentral:rRNA from 1 species